rnacentral:rRNA from 1 species
GAUGAACGCUGGCGGCGUGCUUAACACAUCCAAGUCGAACGGAAAGGCCCAAGCUUGCUUGGGUACUCGAGUGGCGAACGGGUGAGUAACACGUGGGUGAUCUGCCCUGCACUUCGGGAUAAGCCUGGGAAACUGGGUCUAAUACCGGAUAGGACCACUUCUUGGAUGUUGUGGUGGAAAGUUUUUUCGGUGUGGGAUGAGCUCGCGGCCUAUCAGCUUGUUGGUGGGGUAAUGGCCUACCAAGGCGUCGACGGGUAGCCGGCCUGAGAGGGUGUACGGCCACAUUGGGACUGAGAUACGGCCCAGACUCCUACGGGAGGCAGCAGUGGGGAAUAUUGCACAAUGGGCGCAAGCCUGAUGCAGCGACGCCGCGUGGGGGAUGACGGCCUUCGGGUUGUAAACUCCUUUCGCUAGGGACGAAGCGUUUUGUGACGGUACCUGGAGAAGAAGCACCGGCUAACUACGUG